rnacentral:lncRNA from 1 species
AACCCAGCAGGAGAUUGUCCAAGUCGUACGCAUCCACAACGGCUAGGAGCCACAUUCUCCUGCUGUAUUCUCACAUGGGCUCACUCUGAUAUUUUCUGGAGUCUUAUUUCUAGGGGGCUGGCAGGAAACGUUCUGGGAGAUGUCCAGACGGCAGUGCAGUGUCUGAAAGCAGCUUCUGGCGAUUGCUGGCGAGCCUGUGACACAGUGGGGCACAACACAACUGUCAAGUUGUAUUCCAUCAUUGCGCCCAUCAUCACCGUGAUGGAUCAUCCCACGGUGCAAUGCACCCAACCGUCGGCAUCUGCUCUCAAACGGCGAGCUGAGACUGUGCCGUGCGCGGAGCGGAUUGGCCCAAGGGUCCGUCAGAAAAUGAAUAUUGACACGGCCACGGGAAAUGGAAGAAGUGAAAUUCGCAGUGAAUUAAAAGGAGAACAGUAUAGGCCUCAAACUAAAGUUCUUAUUUGA